rnacentral:rRNA from 1 species
CCCUUAGAUGUUCUGGGCUGCACGCGCGCUACACUGAUGCGCUCAACGAGUUUAUGACCUUGCCCGGAAGGGUUGGGUAAUCUUCUUAAAACGCAUCGUGAUGGGGAUAGAUUAUUGCAAUUAUUAAUCUUCAACGAGGAAUUCCUAGUAAGCGCGAGUCAUCAGCUCGUGCUGAUUACGUCCCUGCCCUUUGUACACACCGCCCGUCGCACCUACCGAUUGAAUGACUCGGUGAAAUAUCGGGACCGUUGUCUGGUUUGAUUCAUUUCGAACUAGAUAGUGGGAACUUUCUUUAACCUAUUUAUUUAGAGGAAGGUGAAGUCGUAACA